GUCCUUUCAUGGUAAAGUGCAUCUAGUCAUGAACACGGAAAUACGCAGCAAAGACCCAGCUACUCUCUGACAGUCACCAUCACACCAUCAGACCACGAGAUGGACAGGCUGUGUGUCGCUCUGAUUACAUUCUUAUGUGCUGUUUCCUCCAGUCAGGAUGGGAUCUCUGCAGCAGAGGUGGAGCUGAGAGUCAGACCAGGAGACAACAUCACUCUCUACUGUGACUGUAUCAUAACUACUGGAGUUCACAUUAUGUGGAAUAGGAACUGUUCUCACAGGUACCAGCCUCCUCUAGUUAUUUCAAUUUACAACGUUUACCAAAAUCUUCAGGAAAUGUCUGAUAAUUCCAACCGUUUCCCUGGAUAUAAUGUGUUGUGGAACCCCUCUAACAACUCCUAUGAUCUACUGAUUGAGAACAUCACUGAAUCUGACCUGGGACUCUACUACUGUGGGACUGUGGAGAACCAGGUAGUGGAUGAUGGAGGUAAAGGAGGAAUUGAACAGAAAGAGUUGUACCACUAUGGAAACAUCACCACUAGGAUUUCACUUGAAACCAGUCCUCCUGAGUCCUCCUCCUCCUCCCCUCCUCCUGUAGACUGUGGGCUGUGUUGGAUGUUGCUGUUCAGUCUGUGUCCUGUGUCUGCUCUCCUCUCCUCUCCUCUCUCCUCUCCUCCACCUGUGUCUACUCCUUCUGCAGAACAACAGCUCCAACUGAGACUCAGGUUCCUCUGAACAGGACGACCACCAGGGGAAGUGACAGCAGAGAGCAGACUACAGUCAGAGAGGAAGGAGACUUGUGUUACGCCUCGUUGGAUAUCCGUCAGGGACAGAGGAGACCAAAGAAGAAGAAGAGAACCAAGAACUCAGACUUCAGUACCUACUCAGACAUCAAUACCAGCAGAGUGUGAGACCUAUACCAGCCAUCAAUACCAGCAGAGUGUGAGACCUAUACCAUCCAUCAAUACCAUCAGAGUGAGACCUAUACCAGCCAUCAAUACCAGCAGAGUGUGAGACCUAUACCAGUCAUCAAUACCAGCAGAGUGUGAGACCUGUACCAUCCAUCAAUACCAGCAGGGUUUGAGAUCUAUACCAUCCACCAAUACCAGCAGGGUUUGAGACCUAUACCAUCCAUCAAUACCAGCAGAGUGUGAGACCUAUACCAUCCAUCAAUACCAGCAGUGUGAGACCUAUACCAGCCAUAAAUACCAGCAGGGUUUGAGACCUAUACCAUCCACCAAUACCAGCAGGGUUUGAGACCUAUACCAGCCAUCAAUACCAGCAGAGUGAGACCUAUACCAUCCAUCAAUACCAGCAUUGUGAGACCUAUACCAGCCAUCAAUACCAGCAGGGUUUGAGACCUAUACCAUCCACCAAUACCAGCAGGGUUUGAGACCUAUACCAGCCAUCAAUACCAGCAGUGUGAGACCUAUACCAGUCAUCAAUACCAGCAGAGUGUGAGACCUGUACCAUCCAUCAAUACCAGCAGAGUGUGAGACCUAUACCAUCCACCAAUACCAGCAGGGUUUGAGACCUAUACCAUUCACCAAUACCAGCAGGGUUUGAGACCUAUACCAGCCAUCAAUACCAGCAGUGUGAGACCUAUACCAGUCAUCAAUACCAGCAGAGUGUGAGACCUGUACCAUCCAUCAAUACCAGCAGAGUGUGAGACCUAUACCAUCCACCAAUACCAGCAGGGUUUGAGACCUAUACCAGCCAUCAAUACCAGCAGUGUGAGACCUAUACCAGUCAUCAAUACCAGCAGAGUGUGAGACCUGUACCAUCCAUCAAUACCAGCAGGGUUUGAGACCUAUACCAUCCACCAAUACCAGCAGGGUUUGAGACCUAUACCAGCCAUCAAUACCAGCAGUGUGAGACCUAUACCAGUCAUCAAUACCAGCAGAGUGUGAGACCUGUACCAUCCAUCAAUACCAGCAGAGUGUUAGACCUAUACCAUCCACCAAUACCAGCAGGGUUUGAGACCUAUACCAGCCAUCAAUACCAGCAGUGUGAGACCUAUACCUGCAGAGUGUGAGACCUAUACCAUCCAUCAAUACCAGCAGUGUGAGACCUAUACCUGCAGAGUGUGAGACCUAUACCAUCCAUCAAUACCAGCAGAGUGAGACCUAUACCAUCCAUCAAUACCAGUAGAGUGUGAGACCUAUACCAUCCAUCAAUACCAGCAGAGUGAGACCUAUGCCAUCUAUCAAUACCAGUAGAGUGUGAGACCUAUACCAUCCAUCAGUACCAGCAGAGUGAGACAUAUGCCAUCCAAUACCAGCAGAGUGAGACCUAUGCCAUCUAUCAAUACCAGUAGAGUGUGAGACCUAUACCUGCAGAGUGUGAGACCUAUACCAGCCAUCAAUACCAGCCGGAUGUGAGACAUAAACCAUUCAUCAAUACCAGAAGAGUGAGACCUAUACCAGCCAUCAAUACCAGCAGUGUGAGACCUAUACCAUCCAUCAAUACCAGCAGAGUAUGAGACCUAUGCCAUCUAUCAAUACCAGUAGAGUGAGACCUGUACCAUCCAUCAAUACCAGUAGAGUGAGACCUAUACCAUCCAUCAAUACCAGCAGUGUGAGACCUAUACCAUCCAUCAAUACCAGCAGAGUGAAACCAAUAACAGUCAUCAAUACCAUUAUUGAUCAGGGAGGACAAGGUAUUACAGCUGUGAUCGUAUCAGUUAUUAUGUUUUUGUACUCGUAUAUUUUUACUGUCGUCU
ensembl:lncRNA